rnacentral:rRNA from 1 species
GACGAACGCUGGCGGCGUGCCUAAUACAUGCAAGUCGAACGAGAGCGACUGGUGCUUGCACUGGUCAAUCUAGUGGCGAACGGGUGAGUAACACGUGGGUAACCUGCCCAUCAGAGGGGGAUAACAUUCGGAAACGGAUGCUAAAACCGCAUAGGUCUUCGAACCGCAUGGUUUGAAGAGGAAAAGAGGCGCAAGCUUCUGCUGAUGGAUGGACCCGCGGUGCAUUAGCUAGUUGGUGAGGUAACGGCUCACCAAGGCCGUGAUGCAUAGCCGACCUGAGAGGGUGAUCGGCCACAUUGGGACUGAGACACGGCCCAAACUCCUACGGGAGGCAGCAGUAGGGAAUCUUCCGCAAUGGACGCAAGUCUGACGGAGCAACGCCGCGUGAGUGAAGAAGGUUUUCGGAUCGUAAAACUCUGUUGUUAGAGAAGAACAAGUGCUAGAGUAACUGUUAGCGCCUUGACGGUAUCUAACCAGAAAGCCACGGCUAACUACGUGCCAGCAGCCGCGGUAAUACGUAGGUGGCAAGCGUUGUCCGGAUUUAUUGGGCGUAAAGCGAGCGCAGGCGGUUCCUUAAGUCUGAUGUGAAAGCCCCCGGCUCAACCGGGGAGGGUCAUUGGAAACUGGGGAACUUGAGUGCAGAAGAGGAGAGUGGAAUUCCAUGUGUAGCGGUGAAAUGCGUAGAUAUAUGGAGGAACACCAGUGGCGAAGGCGACUCUCUGGUCUGUAACUGACGCUGAGGCUCGAAAGCGUGGGUAGCAAACAGG